rnacentral:piRNA from 1 species
UGGAGUACUGGAGUACUGGAA